AAGAAAAAUAUAGAGUUAUUUAAGCCAUGUUAAUCACUCCUGAGGUACAAUCUCACAUUCAUAGUUACAUAGAAAAUUGAGAAACGUCAGUUGAACCCUCUCGUCCCUCUAUAGAUAGUUACAUGGAUAGUUACAAGGAUAGUUACAUGAAUAGUUACAUGCAUAGUUACAAGGAUAGUUAUAUGCAUAGUUACAUAGAUAGUUACAUAGAUAGUUACAUGCAUAGUUAUAUGGAUAAUUUCAUAGAUGGAUAGUUACAUGGAUAGUUACAUUGAUAGUUAGAUAAGUAGUUUAAUGUAGGUACACAAGUCAUUUACAUAAUAAUAAUUGCAGCGUGCCGCUGCACCACAACGGCAGCGUCACGCUGCAUAUUAGAACAUAAAUAUAUUAAAAUCCAUGUAACUAGCAAUGUAACUACCCUUACAUGGAUAGUUAAAUGCAUAUUUACAUAGAUGAAUAGUUACAUGCAUAGUUACAUAGAUGGAUAGUUACAUGGAUGGAUAGUUACAUGAAUAGUUAGAUGGAUAGUUACAUGUAUAGUUACAUGGAUAGUUACAUGGAUAGUUACAUGCAUAGUUACUUAGAUAGUUACAUAGAUAGAUAAUUACAUGGAUAGCUGCCAUCACCACCACCGCCUAAAAGAUCGAUCAGGAAAGAGAGAAGUGUUCACGUACAAGUUGACCGAAGCGAAAAUGUAGUCAUUUCAAAACUUUUUUUAGUAACAGAGUUUGUGUUUAAUAACUUCAUAUCCACCAUUUAUGUAGGUGAAGACUGAUGCAGGACAUUCACAUUAUAGAUAGAAAGAGAAAGCUCAAUACUAGCUAAUAUAUACGUAUACUUGGUCUUUACUAGUUCCUACUUUCCAACUCACUAAGUCAACAAAUUUCCUCUAUUAACUAACCAAUUUUGGCAAAGCUACUUAAUAGGAAAGUCUACAGAAUCUAGGUACCUUUAACUUGUGGCAUCCCAAUCAGAUGUUCACAUUUGAAACAGAGAAGGUAAAUUGUAAAU
rnacentral:lncRNA from 1 species